GACGAACGCUGGCGGCGUGCUUAACACAUGCAAGUCGAACGGAAAGGCCCUGCUUUUGUGUGGUUCUCGAGUGGCGAACGGGUGAGUAACACGUGAGUAACCUGCCCUUGACUUUGUGAUAACUUCAGGAAACUGGGGCUAAUACCGGGUAGAAGCUCCUGCUGCAUGGGGGUGGUUGGAAAGUGUCGGCGGUUGGGGAUGGACUCGCAGCUUAUCAGCUGGUUGGUGAGGUAGGGGCUUACCAAGGCUUUGAGGGGUAGCCGGCCUGAGAGGGUGACCGGCCACAUUGGGACUGAGAUACGCACCAGACUCCUAUGGGAGGCAGCAGUGGGGAAUAUUGCAGAAUGGGCGGAAGCCUGAUGCAGAAACGCCGCGUGCGUGAUGACGGGCUUCGGGUUGUAAACCGCUUUCGCCUGUGCCGAAGAGUGCGUGACGGUAAUGGGUCAAGAAGCCCCGGCUAACUACGUG
rnacentral:rRNA from 1 species